GUGAAUAUAAUUUAAUUGGUAAAAUCAGAGAUUUCCACUCUCUUCAUAAGGGUUCAAUUCCCUUUAUUCACU
rnacentral:tRNA from 1 species